AGCAAAGAAGAGGAGGAUAAGGAUGCAUCCACUUCCUUGAAAACAAAAGCAGAACCACCUAAGAGUGUCAUUGAAGCACGUGCAGUAGCAUGGGAGGAAGCUGAGAAGGCCAAGUAUAUGGCCAGGGUGCUGCCCAAAUAAAACUUGCACGAGGGGCCUGUGACAUCUCAUCUCAAAGAUAUAAAACUAUUACAGUGCAUUCACUUAAUAGCUGAAGCUUUCAAGAGCACUGGACUUCAUCAAUUGUCUAUUUAUUUUUGCUACAAAUAGACCCAUGAAUAUUUGUCAAAAGAAUCUGGACCUACCAUUUUCUUUAGGUGUUUAAUCAUGUAAAAAGUAAUAUUGCUACUACAUUUCUUCUGUAAGUAGCAUUUUGUAAAGCUUUUUCAUGUUUGCGGAUUCCCCUCA